AUUGAACGCUGGCGGCAGGCCUAACACAUGCAAGUCGAACGGUAACAGGAAGCAGCUUGCUGCUUCGCUGACGAGUGGCGGACGGGUGAGUAAUGUCUGGGAAACUGCCUGAUGGAGGGGGAUAACUACUGGAAACGGUAGCUAAUACCGCAUAACGUCGCAAGACCAAAGAGGGGGACCUUAGGGCCUCUUGCCAUCGGAUGUGCCCAGAUGGGAUUAGCUAGUAGGUGGGGUAACGGCUCACCUAGGCGACGAUCCCUAGCUGGUCUGAGAGGAUGACCAGCCACACUGGAACUGAGACACGGUCCAGACUCCUACGGGAGGCAGCAGUGGGGAAUAUUGCACAAUGGGCGCAAGCCUGAUGCAGCCAUGCCGCGUGUAUGAAGAAGGCCUUCGGGUUGUAAAGUACUUUCAGUGGGGAGGAAGGGAGUAAAGUUAAUACCUUUGCUCAUUGACGUUACCCGCAGAAGAAGCACCGGCUAACUCCGUG
rnacentral:rRNA from 1 species